CUGGAUUUUCAUUUCUUCUCUUCCCACCAUCGAGAGAAAGAGAAGGCAGGGUUGGAUUACCAUUGGCAUCUCUAUGCCGCUUGCAGUUUUCGACCAAAUUCUUUGUAAGCUGAAAUCCAAGUUAGCUAUAUAUGUACCUUUUCCCUUGUAGUUCUGCACUUACAGUUCAUACUUCAUAGUUGUUGUAGUUACAGUAACCAUCUUACUGUAAUUCUUAUAUAAGCAAGGUGUCAUUUUUAUUAAUCAAUAUGUUUUCCAAUCUGUAUGUAAAUAACUUAUAAUUGAGUGGAAAUUGUCUUGUUUGCAACCAUUACAGUACCUAUUAAUCUAUUCAUUGUAUAUGUCUUCUUUUAGCCAUCCUUGUUGGAUUUGGAUCUCAGCUAUUGUUAUCAAUCUUUUUAGCCAUCCUGUGUUGGUCGCUCUCUAUGUGAAGUGUAAACUACUAAUUAUAUUCUAAUGCCUUUUCUUCACACCUAGCUGUUUAUUUACAGUAGGUACUAAUUAUUUUGACAGUACACUAUUCAAUGUAAAUUCUGCAUAAUAUAAUUGUCAUUAAGUAACAUGUGAACCUUGCAGUAGGGUCACUGUGCCAUCAAUUUUCAGAGUUUUGAUCUCUAAUAGAAUAAAUAGAUUGUUCUAUAUAUUCUGUCAUUUUGCACACAUAUAGCAUAAACAACCUGAAUUUUUAUCUACUGAAUCAUAUGUAGGUACUAUAUGCAUCUCAUUAUCUGAAUAAUAUGCAUCCAUGUUUGCCUUUGAAUUUCAUUUUCCUAAUCAAUGUGUCAUUUUCUCACUCACAAUUUCUAUUAAUGAGAUUUGACAGUUUGCACUAGUGUAUUUGACAGUGUGUUGUUCCAUGUAAUUUCUAGGUUAAUUAAUUGUCAUCAGCGAGUAUUAUUCCUUUGUCAUAAUCACCUAUUCUUCUAUUUUUACCUACCUAUCUGGCUUCAUGUGUUUAUCUAUUUGACUACAUCUAGAAAAAGUUUAAAUUUUUAUUACUCUAAUUUUUUUUGAAAUGGGAAAUCUAUACUUACAGACUUCCUAGGAAUGAUUUACCACUUCGUAGGUAUAUUAGGUAUAUUCAACGAAUGAUGUUUCUUACUUUCUUCUGCUACAUGUUAUAUUAAUUACUAGUUGUCCAUUCCAUGUCAUUUCUGUUAUUUAUUUAUUUAAAUGUAUUACACAUGUCAAGGUACAUGCUUCUCCUCAAGGUUGUAUUCUUCAUUAGAUAGGAAGUAGAUGAACUAUAUGUUUUUCUCAAAGAUAUAGUUUGAAAUUCAGUUGACCUCUUAUGUUAUAGCUCCUUGAUUAUUCAUAGUGUUAUUACUUACUAUGCAUUUGCUCUAUAAUUACAGUGCCAUGACAGUGUAAUUUGUACACAAUGUACAUGUAACAGUUGACUAUAUUUGUAUAUGCCUAUUUGCUAUAUGCAUUUGUGGGGUUUCACUCAUUACCCAAACUAUCUGUUGUUUGACAGACUAUAAAAAAAUCUGAAUAUUUGACAUUUUGCAAAUUUGUCAUUUGUAUUUUAGGAUUUCAAUUUGGACCCAAGCUAUCUGUAAUUUGACAUGGCAUAGAAUCUAAACAUUUUUUUAUUUCAAGAUUAAGAUUUCAUUUCUACUUGCUGCCGAAAAAAGGCUUCCUCUUAUUUAUGCCAGUUGCCAUCAUUUUCUUUAUUAGAUAAUAUUUCGCUUCUACUUACAGCUGAGAAGGCUCCGUACAUUCCUUUUCUUAUGAAUCCAGAAUCAAUUCGAUAUACUUCUUUUUCUUUCUAGUGUAAUGAUGGAUAAUCUGAAUAUUUUACUAGAUCUGAGUAUAUUCAUUACAUCUGAAAUUUUCUAUUAUUGUUUGAAAUUGAUUAUUGAGUAUGUGGCUCAUUUGAUUAAUUGUAAGCCUAGUGCAUUCCAUGAUAUUCUUAUAUUCUGAUUAUGUGUUGAGCUAUGAUUGACUGCAUAUUUUAUGAAUCUGGAACAUCCUUUUAUAUUUGAUUUGUUUGAAUAGAUGCCUCUGAAAGGCAUUCUCGUUUUUGUACUGCUGUGAAUUUCCAGUUGCAGGAUCAAUCAACUUAUGUUUCUGUUUUUCACAUUAUUGGCAUCCAAAUUGGUGUCCAGACUGGCUUGUGCUCCCCUAUGGCAACUCACGAACAGAGUGAUGAUAGUGACUCGCACAGUUAAAGAAGCAUGUGGUGUUCCAACAGUGGCUAUGUGCAGGUAUGCUCUUGAUAAUGGAUGCAACUUUGUCUAUAUGCUGCUGCCUACUGUCGAACAGGAGCGUGGAUGUGUCUACGACGUCGGAAAAGAUAAAAUUAUUUUUGCAACUGUUGUGAAUGCCAACCUCCGACCCUGCAAAUCAAGAACUGUGCUCAGACUAUGGUCAGGAGGCUGGACAUCUGAAGAUAUUUUCAGCUCUGCAGCCACUAAGCACUCUUUUUUUUGUUUCAAGUGGUGUGAAGUGGCAAAUACAAUCUGAUGAAUCUAUUUGGUUCCAGAGUUUCUCGUGUGUGAACCUAUGAAAUUUUGUUAGCUUCUGAUCAACAACCUAUGAAACUUUGUUAGCUUAUUAUCAGCUUUGAACCUAGAGAUGCAGAGUACACGCACAAGUUCAGUCAGAUUCCAUUUUCUGAUCUGACUGUAAUAUGGCUAUUUUUAACUGAUGAACCAAAUUCAGAAUAUGAUGUUUUCCCC